UGGCCGAUGGAGACUAUUUAGCCGCGCCCGCGGCCCCUCCCACGUGACCGUCCCGCGCCGAGCAUCCUGGGACUUGUAGUUUUCUGGAGGCAGCAGAGCCCGGAAAGCCUGAGGCCGGGGGCGGCCGAGACCGCAAUUCCCGUCACGGAGUGCGUCCUCUAGCGCGGGGCGGAAGACCCGCGAAGUGUUCAAGCGGCCGCAGAGCGGCCCAGAGUUCGCAGGUCUGGGGCUCUCUUCCCAGAGAGCUCGUAGGGGAGGACAGUCAAGGGACUCAAGCGUCUCUCUUGACUCCCCUUCUCUCGCUGUGCAGUGGCGGCGCCGAGGGGUCGACGCUCAGGGCUAAUCUCUAUGAGUCACCCUCGAGGCCCCGGGUAAUAUUGGGUGGAUCACAAGAACUAAUCUUUCAUGAUUUGGAAACCGGAAGGAAAGAAGCACUUUUGUAGCUGACUUACCUCAAUGACAUGACCAGUGUCUGAGCCUACAACUGCGCUAUCUUCCCUGGAUUUUUCUUCACCUUUUCCUUACUCAUGAGCCAGGACCCAUGUGGGCAGAGAGGAGAGUUCUCACCUGGAGUUCAGCAUGGUGGACUUGGGCUGCAGCCGUGGCCACCUGGUCCUCCAGAUCCGCCAGAUGGGUCUCAUCAGUGCCACUGUGGAUGCAGCGGGCGGCAUCUUCUAGCUCAGUCAGCUGGGUCUCCAGUCCAUACACAGUGCCUGCUGCCAGACAAAGCAAGAUGAAAAAGCUCCAAGCCCUCAGCAAGGCCAGAAUGUUCAUGUUUUACUCUGUGUUCACUAAAAGCCUACUUUCCUGGCACCAGGAGGCAGAAGAGAUUUAGUGGUUUAGCACUGAUACCAGCUGAACAGGAAUUUACAGCCAAAGUGAUGGUGCCUAAAGGACUGGAGGAGGAUAAUGAUGAUGAUGGUGGGGAUGAUGAUGAUGAUGAUGAUGACAGCAUUAAUUUAUUGAGCCAGUGGCUAAGCCAAGGGUUUUAUGUGACUUAUAUAUGCUCAUAGCA
rnacentral:lncRNA from 1 species